UCCAUUUUUUCAGAAAUCACUAUUUGAUGCAUCCCUAAUCUGCAUCAUUAUAAUUUUGUCAGAUGGGCUGCUUUGUGUUCUUCAGCCUAAUACUGUUGAUUUGAAGUCAUUAAAAACAUCAAAAAGAUGUCAUCAGACGGACAGUCAUUUGGUCCAGGCACAGUGCCAAACCCAGCACCUCUCUCUCAACUGACAGCCAAGCUGGAUGACAUGAGAAAACUAAUUGGAGUACUGGAAGGACAGAAGUCAUUUAUUUACUUUUGGGCUACUCAUCUAUUAACUAUUACUAACAAUUAGCUUACCAAAAGAGAGUAUUUACAUUACGCUUCGAGUAUUAUUGCCUAUCCCGAGUUGAAGGGUGGCAAAGGUGGUUGUGUAAGUAUAUAUUUUUAGAGAUGAGGAUUUUGUGAAUCAUUGUUUUAUUAUCAAUAUUUGUUUACUAUAUUUCUGUAGUUUCUGUAUUAUUAUGGUUUAUUAUUUAUAGUGAAAACACAGCUAAGUACAUGCAUCAGAAACCAAAAGGCCAAUAUUAAGAAAAAAUUCAAUAUCUCCCACAAUCCAGUUAGAUUUACGCCUGCAAAUCUCUACUCGUAGACAAAAAAUUUACACCAGUACAAACUGACAUAGAGGAUGCUUUAAAGGAAUUAGAAAAGAGUAAGGGCGCCUCAUGUGCGGCGCUUACUCAAAGAUACUUUUGGUAAACGAAGGACGUGGAUUUAAAAUGAUGCAAACAGAAUUUCUGAAGUGGUGCAAAAGUACCCACAUCUCAAAUUGAAUACCUUGAUAAUAUUUAAAUGUUUUUUACAUUUCUUAGUAAUAUAACAGUCAAUUGUAAGUUAAGGGAAAACUACAAAAUAUUUUUUUCUAUACAGGUUCUGUCUGAGUUAUGCACUAUGCAAAAAUGGAAGGAGGAAGAAGGAACUGUAGAAGACAAGUCAGAAAAGUAGAUGCUAUGAUUGAAAUCCCAGGACAGCAUUUUGAUAUUAAGCAGAAUGAAUUAGGUAAAGCCCAAAUCAUACUUAGAUUCAACGAAUGUUGAGUGAGAAACAAGAAACUUAAGAAAUAUAACCCUUUGUUUCUUGUGAAAUAGGCUAUGUCUUCCACGCAAGAUUUAGUGACAGUGGAAGGCGAUUCACUUCGACUAGUUACGUUCGGGUGUAUAUCAGUUGGACACGGGGCAAUUGGACACAGUCCAAUCACAAGUCGCUGUUCCAAGGGACCCUACAAAUGUCUCUAAUCAUACGGCGCUGUGAUUGGCUGUGUCCAAAUGCACCGUGUCCAAGUGCACCGCUCCCGUUAUGUUCACAAUUGAGGGAGCUCUUGCUACAGCCUAUGUAGUCGCAGAUGAGAUUAGAACGAAAAUUGUUAAGCCAAUUGUUUCCAAAUAAGUAGCUUGUUUAUUGGCUUCAUACUAUGUUUGGGAUACAAUCUACCCCAGUGCAUAUAAAAAUACUAUGGAAUACAUUGAUCAUGAAGUGUUGGGAACAAUAAUGAAAGAAAAUACAGUCAUAGACAAAUUCAUCAGGGAUUACAACCGCACCCGGUUUGAGUAAUGUAUUGAUGUGUGAUCUCGUAAUGUAUGAAAAUAACUUUGUGGAUAAAAUUUAAUUAUCCUUUAUUUUUUCAUUACUAUUAACUUUCCAUCUCUAUCUGUAUGUGCCUAUACGUAUACACACAUAUAUGCACAUAUAGAAAUAUAUUAUUGAUUCUUUGCAUCUAUAUAUUUCAGGAUGUUUUAUUUGAAAUGAAGCACUAAAGUAUUAUAAGAAAUAACGGCAUCUAGCGUUAGAGGUUAAAAAUAUUAGAUAGAUAGCAGGCGGCGCUGCUGGAAGGAAAGAAGAGGAAUAAGCGGUAUUGGGAGCGGAGCAGUCUGUAGGAAGAUAGAGAAAGAAGUGAGAGUAAGUAAGAGAAAAGUUAGAAGAAAGCAAAGAGAGAAUAAAGGAGUGCAUAACGUUCGAGGAGAGAGCCUUGAACUAGCGGCGUGAGACGAGGUAGUGUAGGCGAAGAAAAAGUACCGCGAAAGAAGUAACCUCAUUAGUCGCGUGCGCGAUAGAGCAUUCCUAGGAGAGAUACGGGAUUCUCUCACGUGGUAGUAGCGGCGGUUGGAGAGAGGCGAGCAGCCUUCCAACAAUAGAGAAUGCGUGUUACUAAAGUCGAUGGAACAGAAUUUAUUGAUAAACCGAAAUUAUAGAAAGCUUCUUGAAUAGAUAAACUAACAGUAAGAUUUGAAAAGGCACAUAAGGAGCAAGCACGGAUGCUU